GCAAUUCUCCUGCCUCAGCCUCCUGGGUAGCUGGGAUUACAGGAGCCUGCCACCACGCCCAGUUAACUUUUUGUAUUUUUAGUAGAGACGGGGUUUUGCCAUAUUGGCUAGGCUGGUCUUGAACUCCUGACCUCGGGUGAUCCAGCCACCUCAGCUUUCCAAAGUGCUUGGAUUAUAGCCGUGAGCCACCAUGCCCGGCGUGGUGCUGUUUCAGAUUGGUUCCAAGGAAUUUGGGAAAGUUGCAUUCCUUACUUUCCUUGAAUAUAAAAGUGGAGGCAGUGAUAAAAUCUACUUCCCUGGAUGGACUCUUGGCAGAAAUCAGUGAGACAGCCCAUGCACAAAGCUUCCCAGAAACAUCCAUCAGCACCCCCAAGAGGAAGAUGUCUGAGCCCCCAGAGAAUCAAUACAUGGAGAUCUCCAGAGGUUUUCCACGGGGUAGAAACAUCGACAAGGACUUCGGAAACACACCACUUGAAUACCUUCAAGGCACUGUGGAAAGAGGAAUGAACAAAACAGCUGAUGUCGCUGACUUCAUGGAGCUUACAUUCUAGUGUCCUCUGAAGCAAGAAGGCAACUAGCAUGAAGCAGAAGAGAUGGUAAAAUUAGCUCCCCUGGAAGGAUCAGAGAUUUGAAGCUGAAUGUGAUAUUUGAACUCAAAUCCAUGGCAUGGAAACCAUGACAGGUGGAAAUGAAGAGUUGUAUGGAGAUAGGGACCUUCUGAAUGUCAAAACACUCUCAAAGCGGGAAAGUCUAGGGUGUCUUCAGAAAAUUUCAUUUUGGCUAAAUAAUUAAGCAUGCUGGCUUCCAAAACCUCAUCACAAUGUUAUCUUUUAUGUAAAAACCUAAGGCCACAUACUGAAUGUUUCUGAGUUUGCUA
rnacentral:lncRNA from 1 species